rnacentral:rRNA from 1 species
AUUGAACGCUGGCGGCAUGCUUUACACAUGCAAGUCGAACGGCAGCGCGGGCUUCGGCCUGGCGGCGAGUGGCGAACGGGUGAGUAAUGCAUCGGAACGUGCCCAGUAGUGGGGGAUAGCCCGGCGAAAGCCGGAUUAAUACCGCAUACGACCUGAGGGUGAAAGCGGGGGACCGAAAGGCCUCGCGCUAUUGGAGCGGCCGAUGUCGGAUUAGCUAGUUGGUGGGGUAAAGGCUUACCAAGGCGACGAUCCGUAGCUGGUCUGAGAGGACGACCAGCCACACUGGGACGGGGACACGGCCCAGACUCCGACGGGAAGGAACAGUUGGGAAGUUUGGACAAAGGGGGCAACCCCGGACCAGCCAUGCCGCGUGCGGGAAGAAGGCCUUCGGGUUGUAAACCGCUUUUGUUCGGGAAGAAAUCCUCUGGGCUAAUACCCCGGGGGGAUGACGGUACCGGAAGAAUAAGCACCGGCUAACUACGUG